rnacentral:rRNA from 1 species
AGUGAACGCUGGCGGUAGGCCUAACACAUGCAAGUCGAACGGCAGCACAGUAAGAGCUUGCUCUUACGGGUGGCGAGUGGCGGACGGGUGAGGAAUACAUCGGAAUCUACUUUUUCGUGGGGGAUAACGUAGGGAAACUUACGCUAAUACCGCAUACGACCUACGGGUGAAAGCAGGGGAUCUUCGGACCUUGCGCGAUUGAAUGAGCCGAUGUUGGAUUAGCUAGUUGGCGGGGUAAAGGCCCACCAAGGCGACGAUCCGUAGCUGGUCUGAGAGGAUGAUCAGCCACACUGGAACUGAGACACGGUCCAGACUCCUACGGGAGGCAGCAGUGGGGAAUACUGGACAAUGGGCGCAAGCCUGAUCCAGCCAUACCGCGUGGGUGAAGAAGGCCUUCGGGUUGUAAAGCCCUUUUGUUGGGAAAGAAAAGCAGCAGGUUAAUACCCCGCUGUUCUGACGGUACCCAAAGAAUAAGCACCGGCUAACUUCGUG